rnacentral:tRNA from 1 species
GGAGGGAUGCCCGAGUGGCCAAAGGGAGCAGACUGUAAAUCUGCCGGCGGAUGCCUACGGAGGUUCAAAUCCUCCUCCCUCCACCA